AAGGCAGCGCCUGGCUUUAAAGGGACUGCGCCCUCCAGGGGCAGACGUGAGGGAAGUGACCUGUGGAGUUUGAAGCGGAGUCGGACCACUAAGAUCCUCCCCCACCCCACCCCCACCACCGCUGGAAGGAAUUUCGAAAUCACCCGGCCUGGUGCUGGUCGUACGCUAUUUUCAGAAGGCCAGAGAGAUUGUGCCACUUGUUCAACUCCACACAGUGCUCCUCCUGCUCUCCGUCUAUCUUCCAGAGUUGAGAAAAGGCAGGAGCUCAAGCCUUGACUGCAGAGGUGGACGAUGCUCAGCCAACCCCUGGCCAGGGCUCUGUCCAGAGGCAAGCUGAUGAAUUGGCUAGCUGGGAAAAAGAACCAAAAGCCCUCCACUGUAGCUGAUUUCAAGCCACCCAUGCGAUGUCACUGCAUGUAGAGUUGGGAAGAGACUCACAGAAUCAGCUCUUGCAAGCAGUUUUGGUCCUGCCACAUGGCAUGCGGGAUCUUAGUUCCCCGACCUGGGAUCGAACCCGUGCCCCCUGCAGUGGAAGUGCGGAGUCUCAACCACUGGACCGCCAGGGAAGCCCCUCCCCGGCUGACUUUAACCUCACCUCCUCCCACCCUGGCUUCCUGUGUUCCAGCUACUCGGGCCACCUUUCUGUUCCACAAGCACAGCAAGUUUGUUCCGGCCUCAGGGUCUCGGAGUCCACAGUCACCCCAGAUCUCUGCACAACAGCUUCAGCUUCAGCUCAGAGUCCUUCCCUGACCUCCCCCUCUUAAGGGGCUCCCCCAGUUCCUCUCCAUCUCAUCCUCCUUGUGUUUCCUGCCCUGCAGUGUUCUUGUCUACUUAUGUGUUACGGAUUCGACUGUCUUCCUCAUUAGAUUGUAAGCUCCACGGUGCAGGGACCUCAUUCUCUGCUGUAUCUGGUACCUGGUCUGUGCCCAAUAAAAGGAA